rnacentral:lncRNA from 1 species
CGGGGCUGAAAGGUAUUAGUUAUGAGAACAGAGGGGAGAAUUAUAACCAAGGAGCCGAGAGGCCAGAAACAGGGCUGACCCAGUGCUGGGUGCCUGGCAAGGGACAAAGGCACUCAGGCGCCUUCCAACAAAUUUGGGGUGUGUGUGUGUGUGCGUGUGUGUGUGUGUGUGUGUGCCUGCGUGCGUGUCUGUGUGACACGCAGGUCCUCUCAAGCAUGGGACCCAGGGUGGGGGCCUUUUGCCUGCAUCCCGGGCUGGCGCUGGUGGUAAUGAGGCCAUGUGUGUUCUAGUCUUUACAUUUCACCUCACUACAACCCUGUGAAGUGAGUAUUAUUGUUUCUGUUUUACAGAUGAUGAAAUUUAGGCUCAGCGCCCUGUCAAGGAAGCGACCAGCCAAGGCCACCUGAGGACCCAAUUCACAGGAAGCCCGCAAGCCCGGAAGUCCCAUGCUGUUGCUCCAUGCUGCCGCCCAGUGGCUGCACGAACUACCCGGAACUACCAUCCAGGGGCCGGGCUGCCAGACGGGUCCAAGUGGACAUUCCUGUCAAGCUUUCUAACCUCAGAAGCGGCAGAAACAACAGACUUUGGAUCAAGACAGUGGAACCCUGGGGGAGAAGACACAGCCCCUGUCUUCCAGAAGCUUCUAAUCUGAGACAAGUGCCUAU